GUGGGCACAUCGGCAGCACUUAUGCUAGAACUGGAACGAGACAGAGAAACUCCGCAUGGUCCCUGCGCAAAGAUGGCAAGCAAACUCGUGAAGUGUUCCAUCUGUCC
ensembl:snRNA U6 U6 spliceosomal RNA